AGAGUUUGAUCAUGGCUCAGAAUCAACGCUGGCGGCGUGCCUCAGACAUGCAAGUCGAACGCGAAAGGCCCCUUCGGGGGCCGAGUAGAGUGGCGUCCGGGUGAGUAACACGUAGGUAAUCUACCUCUGGGUGGGGAAUAACAGCCGGAAACGGCUGCUAAUACCGCAUAACGCAGCGGCACCACAUGGUGACAGUUGUUAAAGCGGGGGAUCGUAAGACCUCGCGCCUGGAGAGGAGCCUGCGGCGGAUUAGCUAGUUGGCGGGGUAACGGCCCACCAAGGCGACGAUCCGUAGCCGGCCUGAGAGGGCGGUCGGCCACACUGGCACUGACACACGGGCCAGACUCCUACGGGAGGCAGCAGUCGGGAAUUUUGGGCAAUGGGCGAAAGCCUGACCCAGCAACGCCGCGUGAAGGAUGAAGUUUCUCGGAAUGUAAACUUCAUAAGAAUGGGACGAAUAAGGAGGGGUUAAUACCCCCUUCGAUGACUGUACCAUUUGUAAGCCCCGGCUAACUCCGUGCCAGCAGCCGCGGUAAUACGGGGGGGGCAAGCGUUGUUCGGAUUUACUGGGCGUAAGGGCGCGUAGGCGGCGCAACAAGUCACUUGUGAAAUCUCCGGGCUUAACUCGGAGCGGCCAAGUGAUACUGUCGUGCUAGAGUGCGGAAGGGGCUACUGGAAUUCUCGGUGUAGCGGUGAAAUGCGUAGAUAUCGAGAGGAACACCUGCGGCGAAGGCGGGUAGCUGGGCCGACACUGACGCUGAGGCGCGAAAGCCAGGGGAGCGAACGGGAUUAGAUACCCUUGUAGUCC
rnacentral:rRNA from 1 species